ensembl:lncRNA
GUUGGCUCAGGGCUAAUCUUCCUCAAAAGGGGUGGGGGGGGGGCUUGUUAUGAUUAACAGAAGACACUCCUACCAGGUAAUUCCAAAAGUUUUAGGGACUCUGUGCCAGGAACCUGGGACAAAGAGUAAGUAUAUAUUUUUCACUAUACCACGGGUAAGGACUAUUAUCGUCCCCAUUUUACAGAUGGAGGAACCAAAACACAGAGAUGUUAAGUAACUUGCCUUAGGUUACACAGCUAGUUAUAGCAGUGCCAAGAGAUUUUCACAUAUUGAGGUAUAUGGGGUAACUAUUCAAGUUCCAAACUGAUUCGGCUUGAACUAGAAAGCCUAAUUUAUGGUCUAUCAAACGUACAUUGUACAUCUGCUUAUCCAUUAAAGUAAGGAAUGCACUCUCUUAAGAUAAAGAAUGCAGACUUCCCCUGCUACGCCCUAUUGGUAACGCCAGGAUUAGUCCCUUUCCUGGCAUCUUGGUGAUGGUCAUGGUCACGUUGACCUGCCAAUUUGCAACUGAAUACCUCUUUGAAAAUGUACCCUGGGUGUGUUUAAUGUAUGUUCUUUGUUCUAAAAAGAUGUAAGAUUGUACUGAAACCCACGCCUCUCCAGAACGCCUUCUAAGGCCUUCCCGGGUUAUAAUCCUCACUCUGGCUCAGAGUAAACUCACCCCAAUUCUGAUUUAUAGGUUGGUUAUGGAAAAUUUGCGUCAACAGCAGGAUUUGAACCUCUUACCACACAAAACUGGGGUUCUCUUGCCCCAUGCACAUAACCAGCCAAUUAAUUACAGCAUCAGGCUUUGGGGAAAGAGAUCAGCUUUAUUCUGCGAGAUCGAUCUGCAAGGAGAACAGGGGGCGUGCCCUCAGAUCUGUCUCCCCAGUUCCAGAUUUGGGGCAAAAUUUAAGAAGUUAGGGAGAACAGGCUGGCACGUGGAAACGCUGGUGGGACAGGCUUUGCUUGGUGGGCUUCAAGCAUUUAUGGUGAGGUUAUAAACACUUAGGAUGAGGUUCUAAGCAUUUAUGCAAGAGUUCUAAACAUUUGUGAUGAGGUGGGGAAGGAAUUUUAACAUCAGAUCUCCUGAAUGAGGGACCCCUCGCUUCUGAUAAGAGUCCAACUUUCAAGUUCCGGUCGUGUUCUGGUCCUUGGGUUCCUGCAAAGGAGGAUCUUUGGUUCUGCAGUCACUUCAGGUCAAGAUUUCUUCUUUUGCGCACACCCUGGCUGCAUGACUCUGCAGAUUUUCUGAAAGAAAAUUCUUCAUCACUCUGUUGAUAAGAGCCGGGGUCGGCUGAACUGGUCCUGGAGGGCUGGAGGCUACAAACCCAGGAAGCUCAGCGCCAGAGGCCACACGGUAGCCACAUUACCAACUGCCUAGCUGCGUGGACUCUGGGGAAUCAUGGAGCGUGGGCUUUCUCAAAAGGGAUCCUGAGGGGCCGGGCCAGUGGUGCAGUGGUUAAGUUAGCACAUUCUCCUUCAGCGGCCCAGGGUUCGCUGGUUCAGAUCCCAGGUGUGGACUUAUGCUUCAUUUGUCAAGCCAUGCUGUGGCAGGCGUCCCACAUAUAAAGUAGAGGAAGAUGGGCACAGAUUUUAGUUCAGGGCCAGUCUGCCUCAGCAAAAAAGAGGAGGAUUGGUGGUGGAUGUUAGCAGAGGGCUAAUCUGCCUCAACAAAAGAAAAAAAAAAAAGGGACCAUGAGUGUUGCCCCCUUCAGAGAGUGUAGGACAGUCAUUGUCCCCAUGAGACAGGAGUUGAAAAGAAAUCAAAAACAGAUUUUUCCAGACUAAUUUCUUCCUCUGAACCCUGCUUAAUAAAGGCAGGAAACUUUUGAAGUAAAUUAAGGGAAAAAACUCUGAGAUAAAUUUUCUUUUGUAUGUGUGUGUGUCUAUAUUCCACAUAAUAACAGGAUAAAUAUACAUUAAGUUCUACAACAAUGUUAUUUAAUAUUUACUUAUAAGUAAACAAUAUUUUUGUCCCCAAAUUUUAAUAAUCCUCUCUGCUCUCUGACAUUAAUCCUUCUUGAUUCUCCUCUAUCUUGACUUGGCACAGAUUUUUAAGGCAUGUGAACAAGGGUACAUAUAAAGUGCAGAAUGCAGAAUCAAAAAUUGAAUUCCAGGGGCCAGCUCAAUGGCUCAGUGGUUAAGUCCAGCACACUCUGCUUUGGUGGCCCAGGUCCACAGGUUCAGAUUCUGGGCACAGACCUGCACCAUUUGUCAAGCCAUGCUGUGGCAGUGACCCACAUACAGAGUGGAGGAGGAUUGGCAACAGAUGUUAGCUCAGGGCUAAUCUUCCUCACCAAAAAAAAAAAAAAAUUAAAUUCCAAAUAGAAGGUAAGG